rnacentral:rRNA from 1 species
GGAUUCCCCUAGUAACUGCGAGUGAAGCGGGAAAAGCUCAAAUUUAAAAUCUGGCGGUCUCUGGCCGUCCGAGUUGUAAUCUAGAGAAGUGUUAUCCGCGCUGGACCGUGUACAAGUCUCCUGGAAUGGAGCGUCAUAGAGGGUGAGAAUCCCGUCUUUGACACGGACUGCCAGGGCUUUGUGAUGCGCUCUCAAAGAGUCGAGUUGUUUGGGAAUGCAGCUCAAAAUGGGUGGUAAAUUCCAUCUAAAGCUAAAUAUUGGCGAGAGACCGAUAGCGAACAAGUACCGUGAGGGAAAGAUGAAAAGAACUUUGGAAAGAGAGUUAAACAGUACGUGAAAUUGCUGAAAGGGAAACGCUUGAAGUCAGUCGCGUUGGCCGGGAAUCAACCUUGCUUUUGCUGGGCGUAUUUUCUGGUCGACGGGUCAACAUCAAUUUUGACCGUUGGAUAAAGUCUGAGGGAAUGUGGCUUCUUCGGGAGUGUUAUAGCCCUUGGUCGCAUACAACGGUUGGGAUUGAGGAACUCAGCACGCCGCAAGGCCGGGUACUUGUACCACGUUCGUGCUUAGGAUGUUGGCAUAAUGGCUUUAAUCGACCCGUCUUGAAACACGGACCAAGGAGUCUAACAUGCCUGCGAGUGUUUGGGUGGAAAACCCGAGCGCGUAAUGAAAGUGAAAGUUGAGAUCCCUGUCGUGGGGAGCAUCGACGCCCGGACCAGACCUUUUGUGACGGAUCCGCGGUAGAGCAUGUAUGUUGGGACCCGAAAGAUGGUGAACUAUGCCUGAAUAGGGUGAAGCCAGAGGAAACUCUGGUGGAGGCUCGUAGCGAUUCUGACGUGCAAAUCGAUCGUCAAAUUUGGGUAUAGGGGCGAAAGACUAAUCGA